AGCCCCGCGCCUCCGUGGCCCGGGCGUCUCGUGCGUGUCCGCGAACUCGCGUGCGCGCGUCACCUCGGACCGCAGCAUGGCUCGGAGGGCGGCCCUACUCGCGCCGCCCUAGUGCUGCGAAGGGCCUCGGAGCCCAAACCCGGAACCGCCAUCUGGGACUGGGAAGACGACAUGGCCAGAAGCCGACUGGACAGCCGGCACCACCCCAUGAUUCAAGGAUGGCCAUAGCCCAGUGCAGGAGCAGAUUUGCUUCCAGUUUGCCCUUCCUCCUAGCUGAACUCCAGGCUCCAGCCCAGAGAAGCAAGAAAAGAGCAAACAGAAGUUAUUCACAUGUGCAUCAGGUGGAGUCUCGCUCUGUCACCCAGGCUGAGGUUGCAGUGAGCCGAGAUGACACCACUGGACUCCAGCCUGGGCUAUAGAACAAGACUCCCUUUAAAAAGAAAAAAAAAUUCAUGAUCUGGAAGCCCGAGUGUAGCUAACUGGUGGACAGAUGAAAGUGAAAUGUGUGAUGUUUCCUAAGACCCCCUAAGACUUCCCUGAGCCACGGGAGGCUCUCACGAGUGUGUAAGCCAGGGUUUUGGGGAAGGGGUGGAUGUGUGUGUCUCGCAUUUUCCCAGCUGCCUCUCCUUUCCCCUUCUUCCUUGCUCCCGGAGACUUCCUUGUGGAUUCCUUCCCAGAACUUGGUCUGAAUUCCCUAAUAGACAUUCUCCUAGCGGGAUGAGUCCCCCUUUACAGCACUCGGGAAAUGCCUGCUCCUCUAGCUGUCUCUGAUCCACCUCUCCUGUCUUUCAACUAAGGCCCCCACAUGCCAGACCAUCGUUGGUGGACCUCGUCACCAGCAUGAAGUGGGCUCUUGGAGUUGUCGACUGACUAGUUCACAAUUAGUGACUCAUAGCAUCUCACUCAUUUCCUUUUCAUCAGUAGGAGGCAGCAGUCUGCACUUUUGCAUCACAUUUCAAAGACAUCUGUGUGUUUGUUCUCGUGCAGAACACUUUGACUAUUGUAACCUCUAGGUCCAUGAAUGACCCUCAUCUUCAGUAAAAGUGGAUUCACGCUGGCAAAGUCUGCUUUGUUUUAUUGUGACACAUGGAACAUUAUGGAUUUUGGUGAAUAAAAACUAACUUAAAUUGAAGUCA
ensembl:lncRNA ZNF236-DT ZNF236 divergent transcript